AAAAAAGAAAAGAAAGAAAGAAAAGGCCAAGUCUGGAAAUCAAGUGGCAGCAGCGAAGCAGCGCGUUCCCCCUCUGCCUUGGGAAGAAUUUCUUGGCUGGGUGUGUGGGUGCCUGUUAUUCGGGCUGUGGCAGAGGAUUUGGACACCGAGUCAGACCCGGCACUAAUGAGGAGGAAGAGGAUGGACGUCCUGCCACGGGUGUGCGCCAGGCUGCUCCUCCUGUCCCUGCUCUGUGCCACCAGCCUCUGCCAAAGGAGCAAAAAUAACCGCUGCGUGCUGUCCCGGGCAAAGAGCUGCACCGAGUGCAUCCGAGUAGACAAGGACUGCUCCUUCUGCACC